CUACGGGGGGCUGCAGUGGGGAAUUUUGCGCAAUGGGCGAAAGCCUGACGCAGCGACGCCGCGUGAGGGAUGAAGGUUCUCGUGAUUGUAAACCUCUGUCAGGAAGGAUUAAAUGGAUAUAUGUCAAUAGCGUAUAUUCUUGACUUAACUUCCAAAGGAAGCCCCGGCUAACUACGUGCCAGCAGCCGCGGUAAUACGUAGGGGGCAAGCGUUACUCGGAUUUACUGGGCGUAAAGCGAAUGUAGGCUGUUAUGUAAGUCAGUGGUGAAAUCCCUCAGCUCAACUGAGGAACUGCCUUUGAUACUGCAUGACUUGAGGACAGGAGAGGAAAGUGGAAUUCCCGGUGUAGCGGUGGAAUGCGUAGAUAUCGGGAGGAACACCAGAGGCGAAGGCGGCUUUCUGGACUGGUCCUGACGCUCAGAUUCGAAAGCUAGGGUAGCAAACAGGAUUAGAUACCCUCGCAGUC
rnacentral:rRNA from 1 species